rnacentral:rRNA from 1 species
GUGGGGAAUCUUGGACAAUGGGCGAAAGCCUGAUCCGGCAAUAUGGCGUGAGUGAAGAAGGGCAACGCAGCUUGUAAAGCUCUUUCAUCGAGUGUGCGAUUGUGACAAGACUCGAAUAAGAAGCCCCGGCUAACUCCGUGCCAGCAGCCGCGGUAAGACGGGGGGGGCUAGUGUUAUUCGGAAUGACUAGGCGUAAAGGGCACGUAGGCGGUGAAUCCGGUUGAAAGUGAAAGUCGCCAGCUCAACUGGCGGAAUGCUUUCAAAACCAAUUCACUUGAGUAAGAUAGAGGAUAGUGGAAUUUCGUGUGUAGAGAUAAAAUUCACAGAUAUACGAAGGAACACCAAAAGCGAAGGCAGCUUUCUGGGUCUCUACUGACGCUGAGGUGCGAAAGCAUAGGGAGCAAACAGGAUUAGAUACCCUGGUAGUCUAUGCCGUAAACGAUGAGUGUUCGUCCUUGGUCUGCGCUGUAUGCAAAACGGCUGAUCAGGGGCCCAGCUAACGCGUUAAACACUCCGCCUGGGGAGUACGGCCGCAAGGC